UACGUAGGGUCCGAGCGUUAAUCGGAAUUACUGGGCGUAAAGCGUGCGCAGGCGGUUUUGUAAGCCAGAUGUGAAAUCCCCGGGCUUAACCUGGGAAUGGCAUUUGGGACUGCAAGGCUCGAGUGCGGCAGAGGAGACUGGAAUUCCUGGUGUAGCAGUGAAAUGCGUAGAUAUCAGGAGGAACACCGAUGGCGAAGGCAGGUCUCUGGGCUGACACUGACGCUCAUGCACGAAAGCGUGGGGAGGAAACAGG
rnacentral:rRNA from 1 species